GAUGACAGUACAAAUAAACCAAGCCUUAAUGUGCUUCAGUGAUGCCUGUGAAAAUGGGAAGAUUGCUCAAUACUCACAAAUUCUACCUGCCCAUCAGUGUUCAAAUAAAACAGCCUGGAUGCUAAUGUAUCAUGAAGAAGUACAGCAAAAAAAUUCCAAGUAUCCACAUCACUCUGAGAUCGCAGCACAUUAUAUUUAUAUGAAAUCUCCGUGAACAAACAACCAUCGCUGGACCAAUCAUCGGUUCUUCACUGGACACAGAACCUACUAACACUGCUAUCUUGGACUUCUUACCUUCCAGAACUGUGAGAAAUAAAAGUAUGUUC